rnacentral:rRNA from 1 species
GCGAAAGCCUGAUGGAGCAUCGCCGCGUGAGUGAAGAAGGUCUUCGGAUCGUAAAGCUCUGUUGCACGGGACGAAAACCGGGUUUGAGAAUAUUGAACCCGGGUGACGGUACCGAGCGAGGAAGCCUCGGCUAACUACGUGCCAGCAGCCGCGGUAAUACGUAGGUGGCGAGCGUUGUCCGGAAUUAUUGGGCGUAAAGGGAGCGCAGGCGGACAUAUAAGUCCAUCUUAAAAGUGCGGGGCUCAACCCCGUGAGGGGAUGGAAACUGUAUGCCUUGAGUGCAGGAGAGGAAAGCGGAAUUCCCAGUGUAGCGGUGAAAUGCGUAGAUAUUGGGAGGAACACCAGUGGCGAAGGCGGCUUUCUGGACUGUAACUGACGCUGAGGGCUUCUAUUUUCUCAGGGGGAGCGAACGGGGAUUAAGAUACCCCCGGUAGUCCCUGGGCCGUAAACGAUGAAUGCUAGGGUGUAUGAGGUAUCGACCCCUCCUGUGCCGGAGUAACGCAAUAAGCAUUCCGCCUGGGGAGUACCGGC